UGCCCAUUGGCCCAGUGGUUAAGGCGUCUGACUGUUACUCACAGAGAAAUCAGAAGAUCCCUGGUUCGACCCCAGGAUGGGCAG